GAUGAACGCUGGCGGCGUGCCUAACACAUGCAAGUCGAGCGAAGCGCUUAAAUUAGAUUUCUUCGGAAUGACGAUUUUUGUGACUGAGCGGCGGACGGGUGAGUAACGCGUGGGUAACCUGCCUCAUACAGGGGGAUAACAGUUAGAAAUGACUGCUAAUACCGCAUAAGAUCCCAGCUUCGCAUGAAGCGGUGGUAAAAACUCCGGUGGUAUGAGAUGGACCCGCGUCUGAUUAGCUAGUUGGUAAGGUAACGGCUUACCAAGGCGACGAUCAGUAGCCGACCUGAGAGGGUGACCGGCCACAUUGGGACUGAGACACGGCCCAGACUCCUACGGGAGGCAGCAGUGGGGAAUAUUGCACAAUGGGGGAAACCCUGAUGCAGCGACGCCGCGUGAAGGAUGAAGUAUUUCGGUAUGUAAACUUCUAUCAGCAGGGAAGAAAGUGACGGUACCUGACUAAGAAGCCCCGGCUAACUACGUG
rnacentral:rRNA from 1 species